GUGGGGAAUAUUGGGCAAUGGGCGAAAGCCUGACCCAGCAACGCCGCGUGAAGGAAGAAGGCUUUCGGGUUGUAAACUUCUUUUGUCAGGGACGAAAAAAAUGACGGUACCUGACGAAUAAGCCACGGCUAACUACGUGCCAGCAGCCGCGGUAAUACGUAGGUGGCAAGCGUUAUCCGGAGUUACUGGGUGUAAAGGGCGUGUAGGCGGGAAAGCAAGUCAGAUGUGAAAACUAUGGGCUCAACCCAUAGCCUGCAUUUGAAACUGUUUUUCUUGAGUACUGGAGAGGCAGAUGGAAUUCCUAGUGUAGCGGUGAAAUGCGUAGAUAUUAGGAGGAACACCAGUGGCGAAGGCGAUCUGCUGGACAGCAACUGACGCUGAGGCGCGAAAGCGUGGGGAGCAAACAGGAUUAGAUACCCCAGUAGUCC
rnacentral:rRNA from 1 species